rnacentral:rRNA from 1 species
AUGAACGCUGGCGGCGUGCUUAACACCUGCAAGUCGAGCGAGAAGUUUUGAAAAGAUUCUUCGGCUGAAAUUUAAAAUGGAAAGCGGCGGACGGGUGAGUAACGCGUAGGCAACCUGCCCCAUACAAAGGGAUAGCAUUUGGAAACGAAUAUUAAUACCUUAUGAAACUUAACUAGUGCAUGCUAGGUAGGUCAAAGAUUUAUCGGUAUGGGAUGGGCCUGCGUCUGAUUAGCUAGUUGGUGAGGUAACGGCUCACCAAGGCGACGAUCAGUAGCCGACCUGAGAGGGUGAACGGCCACAUUGGAACUGAGACACGGUCCAAACUCCUACGGGAGGCAGCAGUGGGGAAUAUUGCACAAUGGGGGAAACCCUGAUGCAGCAACGCCGCGUGAACGAUGAAGGCCUUUGGGUCGUAAAGUUCUGUUCUAGGUGAUGAAAACUGACAGUAACCUAGGAGAAAGCCCCGGCUAACUCCGUG